rnacentral:lncRNA from 13 species
AUGCUGUGUUGCUUCUUCUUACACACUCGCAAAAAAAUCCCCUCUCUAGUCCUUUUUACCUGUUUCUCCACUGCUUCCAGCCAUGUUUAUCAUCCUGUGUUCACACCUUUGCAUCCUUCUAUCUUAUUUUGCCAGUUAGUCUUUAAGCUCUAUUCGGCAACUCCAGCAGAAUUGAAAAUUUCUAUAUUCUGUUAUUUGUCACUGUCAUGCCACAGAACAGGGAGCAGGAGCUGCUCUUGUGCCAGGGGAUGUAGAGAAACACCUCCAGGGCCUGGAGAUCCCCACACCACGCCUGGCACCUUUUCCCUCAGCACAGGCAGCAGACGCGACUUCCCCAAACCGCCCUGGGUGCCGCAGGCUUUUGGGGAAGGGAGGUGUGAUUGGUGCGCCGGUGCCACCGCUGCACUUAAAGGCUCGGAGCAGAUGAGGAAGCGUCACGGGAAGUGUCACGGCACCUGCAGAGCCCCGGCCAUGCCACCCCUCCAGCGCGCCGGACUGCUCCCGCUCCUCGCCCUGCUCGUGCUCUGCCUGUCCCUCGGCCAGGCCAGCGAUGAGGCGUCUCCUCCGAAAGACGCUGUCCCGAGCAACGCCACGGCCAGCGCCAGCCUGAGCCCGCCGUGCGCCAGCCCGCCGCUGCUCUCCAUCGCCCUGGGGCUGCUCGCAGCGCUGCUCCUGCACCUGCGCUGAGCGGGACGGCUCCGGCGCACCCCGAGCCCCCGAGACCACCCUCCCCAGGAUGGCAUCCCCCACCCCGGCAGCGCCGCGGCACCGCUCCCGUUCCUGCCGCCCUCCGCUCGCCUCGUCCCCCCGGCCCCGGAGUGAGCCCCCGGCCUUGGGGAGACGGGCAAUAAACGUGCUGGUGCCGAGACCUCGUCUCCGCGUCGGGGCGGUUCGGUACAGGGGCUGAUGGGGGAGGGGGGCACAGCACCGACCCCUUACCCGGGGCUACAACCCGCGGGGCUGGAGGGGCAGGGUGGGGCCAGGGUGGCGAGCAGGGCCGGGACCCCCAUAGCGGCUCCCGAGCGGCCCCAUAGCGGCUCCCGAGCGGCCCCGAGCGGCCCCCGAGCGGCCCCCGAGCGGCCCCGAGCGGCUCGGAGCGGCCCCCGAGCGGCCCCAUAGGGGCCCCGAGCGGCUCCGAGCGGCUCCCGAGCGGCCCCAUAGCGGC